rnacentral:ncRNA from 1 species
GAAUGUUUGCCGCCGGGUAACGCCUGAUCCAUUCCGAUAGGCCUUAGAAGGAAUGGAGCCAGGCGUUUUUUUGUG